rnacentral:rRNA from 1 species
AGAGUUUGAUCCUGGCUCAGGACGAACGCUGGCGGCGUGCUUAAGACAUGCAAGUCGAACGGAUCUGGUCCUUCGGACCGACGGUUAGUGGCGGACGGGUGGAGUAACACGUGAGCAACCUGCCCUCAUGCCCGGGACGUAACACCGCGAAAGUGGUGCUAAUACCGGAUACGCUCCUCUGGUCGCAUGGCCGGAGGAGGGAAGGGGAAACCCGCAGGAGGAGGGGCGUCGCGGCCCAUUAGCUAGUUGGUGUGGUAAUGGCGCACCAAGGCGACGAUGGUAGCCGGCCUGAGAGGUGAACGGCCACACUGGGACUGAGAUACGGCCCAGACUCCUACGGGAGGCGAC